rnacentral:rRNA from 1 species
UACGGAGGAUGCGAGCGUUAUCCGGAUUUAUUGGGUUUAAAGGGUGCGUAGGCGGUCCGGAAAGUCAGCGGUAAAAGCCCGGGGCUCAACCCCGGCGAGCCGUUGAAACUGUCGGACUAGAGACGGCGAGAAGUACGCGGAAUGCGCGGUGUAGCGGUGAAAUGCAUAGAUAUCGCGCAGAACUCCGAUUGCGAAGGCAGCGUACCGGCGCCGGACUGACGCUGAGGCACGAAAGCGUGGGUAUCGAACAG